UCAAAUAAUAAUAGUUGUUUAAGUCCAAUCUGUAUUUUGUUUAGUGAACUAUAGAUCGAUGAAAUACUACAUAUUAUUUAGGUUGUCAAGUUUGAUGUGGCACAAAAAAGUCAUCAUAACUUAAGGCGAUAAAUAUAGAUUAGAAAAAGAGGCUGUCCCUUGAAAGUUUUUACUAGCAGCAUUAGUGUGAACCCAACAUUGAUAUUUUUUCUAGGGACAGAAUAAUAAUGGAGUACACCGCCCUUUCCUUCUUUUGCUUCUCCAGUCAAGAACAGAAUGGAUGGAAUGGGCAUGGAGACUGAUCUACCCUCCCAACCCCUCGGAUUCGAAUCCUUCUAGGGCAGGUUUGAGGCACUGGUAGGACAGUGUGGGAACCUCACAUUGCUGCUACUCACUUAUUGACAUGCUUUAUUGCCUAAAAUUCAUGGCCUUGUUACUAAUACCCCUGAUCUCAUAUUGACCUAUGACUUUGCAAUCCAUACAGGUGACGCCCAGAUGUUAAAGGUUAGUCGUCUGGCCCCAAAAAGGCUGUUUCAAAGCUUGAACCCCCUUGACUCUUCGCUUCUAUCCAGCCAGCAUCACUUAAACAUACAAUUGUCAUGCUUGAACCACAGGAGCUGCCCUAGCCUAGCCAUUCCAUUGUCAUAAAGGCCUAUUACACAAAUGAGCAGCAAGCCAGCCUCCCAAAGUCAAUAAGCAGAGGACAAAUAACAUGCAGACUGGAGCCUCAGAUAUCAAUGAAAAAUGUGUUGAAAAAUGUUGAGGUUUAGCACAGUGGAUCAGGUGUGCAUGGGGGGGUACUCAUUGAUCUCACAGCACUACCUGCUCUCUAAUUCAGCAUACAGAGGGCAUUCUGAUAAGCGCAAUGUGACAUUUACAGUAAGUUUGCAAACAGCCAUAAUCUUUCAUGUGUUUUCUCAUGAGGGGUGCUUCGAGGAGAUAGCACAUUUUCUACAAUUUCUGGAAGGCAGAAUACAUUUCUGGAUCAGUACAGGUUUAAUCAUGUCAAUCAUUGGUAAUAUGGGUCAAAUCCUUUGCUAGAGUAGACCAAAAAGACCAAAACUAAAGAUCUGUUCCAGUCCAAGGCUUUGUUCCAAUUCAGCCCUAAAUUAGGUACUGUAAGUGAAUCAGCUAGGUGUCAACUAUUUAAUUUGGAACCUGGUUGGAAAAAAUGUCUGGACUGGAACCCCUGUAAUAUAUAGUAGACUCAAUACAAUAUACUGUAGUAGACUCAAGGGGACACAGCAAUCUGAAAUUUAUUUUUAUCGGAUGGCUUGUAUCGUCACAUCAGGCCAGUUUACAUGUAUGGUUUGUUUCACAUGACAAUGUGCGUGAAACUUGCCAUGGGAAAGCUUGUAAAAAUUUCCCAAAAAACAGUCUCAGUAUUUUAACAUGAAAGUCUUAAUUUCUUGUGAGAUUCCAGGAAGUGUUUGUGAAAUCAACACCCACUUACACAUGCAAACACUGAUUGCACAUGUAAAUGUUAAUUAACUCAUUCAAUUGCCUGACAUAAAGCCGCUGUAAAAGUCACACGGGAACACGGAAGUUAUCAUGGUCCAAAGAUAGCAGCAGGUAAAUUAUUUGUAUGUUUGCAGUAUUUUCCUUAUCAGAUUGGUGUUGAGCGAUAACCCAAAUCUAGUCAUGUCUUCUGAACAACCAUGCAUAAUGCUAAUUAUAACAUGGAUCUAAAUGUGUUUGUAAAGUUUACAUGAAAUUCAUCGUGUCAGUUUGUAUCGCUUGCUAAAAAUAUUUAAUGAAGUUCAUCGUGGGCUUGUGGAUUCAGGUGGGUACAGCAGCUGUGCAGUAGUUGAGAAUACACUUGGAUAUACCCAUCCAAACCGUCAAAACGUCGCUAAUAUUAUGUACUAUAAAGAGGUAAUGGAACUGUAUUGAAGCGUCUGUGAAGAACCAUACUCCCAUGCAAUUUCUCCUGGAUUCAUCCGAGCAAAACCAAUGCCUAUCCUGCACUUAUGUCCAUUGGACCGACGAGGACACACAGUUGUUCAUAACAAUUAUAAGACACAUGGAUGUGAUGAGGCAGAUAGAUCGCCCCAAACAGCGAAACAAGCCUGUCUAGCAACAAGUGGUUGAUGAGCUCUCUAGGAAAGGGAUUGUGCGCACAAGCGCACAAACUAUGGACAAAUUUAAAAACUUGAAGCAGUCCUACCGACAGAAACAUGCAAGGCGAUCGUGCACGGGAGAAGGAGGACAGGCCCAGUUCCAAUUUUGGAAUGAAAUGUGCUGUCUGUUGGAACAGUAGCCAGUGGCAUCUCAACAGCAGAUGCAGCGUCAUGCACCUCUCCUAAUGAAGGUCACGUAUAGAGUGCUGUAUGAUACAAGCUAUAUACUGGUGUCUGGCUCCAAAAAUAGAUGCCCACAAAGAGGAGUGACUUAUGCACAGCAUUGGAGCGAGUCAGGGCUGGAGCUGCUGCAGGGCCCCUUGCAUUGUGUUCCUGUGUCAGUGCUAUGAGAAUGAAGCCCAGAUGGUUCUGCUUCUCCUCCCUCCACUCAUCGUGGUGUCUCCCGAAUUCAGGCUGGAGUUCCCCAAGGGGUAGUGCAUUCUUCAGGUCUGUAGCGGCUCUCUGGAAUGCACUUCUACAGGGUGAGGGUGGAACUACUUUACUUUUUACCCCAUGGUUAAAUAAAUGUACACAUGUUUCUGUUUUCAUUUGGGCUUAAGUUAGCACCAUUACAGUUGAAGCUUUUCUGUGAUUAUAGUUGUCUGUUUAAAAUAAAAUAAAAUAAGAAGUAUGGUGUUCUUCAAAGUUGAAUUGGCAUUACUGGAGUGGCAACGAGAACUGCCCCAAAUAAACCCACUAACAUGCCUUAAACCUGCCCCAGAAGGAUCACCCUUCAAAUGGACAAGAUAAAUCAAGGAAGAAUUGGGGUAGAUUGUUUUGUAAAUUCGUAACAUGAAUUGUCUUCCAUUUAAGGCCAAGUGCAGACCACCAAACUCACUUCACUUGACCAAAACAGAUAUGACCCCAGAUCUAGAAAGAUUAAAUGCUCAUACUAUACAGUGCAUUUACCAACCUGGAUACAAGGAUUUUUUUUUUUCAAAAGUCCCAGGCAGGUUAUUUAAAAUGGAAGAGAAUGAAAAUUUGAAAUCAUGCUGUGUGCAAUUUUAAUACUACUACAGCACACCUUGCAGCUAUUGGAUAAUUUCCUUCUUAACGUUGAAUCCCUUCAAUAAAAUCUGGUUUAUGAUAACUAUACUGCCAAACACCUCCAUUUUCAGUAAGGUAAGUGCUUUCAAGACAGUGUAUAUGGGUAAUUACAUAAGACUGAACAUUAACCAACUGUGACAUAAAGCCUUCUCUUUAAAGAGAAUAUUUCCUAAGAAUGAAGUUAUAAAGUGGACCAAUUUCUUGUCACGUUGCACAAAUUGGUAUCAAUUUUAUGAAAAGAACUCAUUUUCUAUGACGGUUGCAGUUAUUCUUUUUUUUUUUCAAAGACUAACAAGCCAGCAGCUAGUCAAUCUUUGACAAAGCUCCUGUUUUGUCCUCCAAAGAAAUGAAUGGUGAUGAUUUUCUUUGUGGCACCUUUCAAGCACCUCAGAAUUCAAGGCCGACCUUCUGAGGCAGUGCAAGAAGGGUUCCAAGGCCUGGGCUUUGUUUCCCAUGCCUGCAUCUCCGAGGUUUAUUCUGCGGGGGAGCAGUUUCGAUCAGUCAGACGGUGACACGGAGUACUUACAUACAAGGAAGUGAAAGAGCAUAUAUAGCUUCCUCUUAAUAGACAAACAUGCAGUUCUGCUUAUAUUCUAAUGGGGUCAGUAUUCCUUUUGUGACUAGUGCCUACUGCCCUACUAUAUCUAUCUAUCUACAGGCUUUAAAUUACCCAACGCUACCAGGGUUUCUUUUUACUACCCAGGUUUCAAUUUAUUCAUUUGAGAAUUUAAAGAAAAUGUAGAGAAUAUGACAAUACAGUUGUAAGCGCGAGUCUCUGACCAACAAAAUAAAGACAACGUAAAAACUAGCCUUGUUUUCAUUAAGCCCUUUUCUGCACUCUCAAGGAUAGUUCAUACACUACAGGGUGGUCCGUCA